rnacentral:rRNA from 1 species
AUGCACGCUUGCGGCGUGCCUCAUACCUGCAAGUCGCGCGAACAGACGAGGAGCUUGCUCCUCUGACGUUAGCGGCGGCCGGGUGAGUAACACGUGGAUAACCUACCUAUAAGACUGGGAUAACUUCGGGAAACCGGAGCUAAUACCGGAUAAUAUAUUGAACCGCAUGGUUCAAUAGUGAAAGACGGUUUUGCUGUCACUUAUAGAUGGAUCCGCGCCGCAUUAGCUAGUUGGUAAGGUAACGGCUUACCAAGGCAACGAUGCGUAGCCGACCUGAGAGGGUGAUAGGCCACACUGGAACUGAGACACGGUCCAGACUCCUACGGGAGGCAGCAGUAGGGAAUCUUCCGCAAUGGGCGAAAGCCUGACGGAGCAACGCCGCGUGAGUGAUGAAGGUCUUCGGAUCGUAAAACUCUGUUAUUAGGGAAGAACAAAUGUGUAAGUAACUAUGCACGUCUUGACGGUACCUAAUCAGAAAGCCACGGCUAACUACGUG